GGGAUGUGGUGCUUGAAUGGAUCCUGGAGUCGGCCAUUGCUCAAGCACACCACCAAACAGUGCCCUUGCAAAGCAGGCCUCAUCCCUGUCCACCGGGCCCAGCACCUCCCGGGUCUACCUCAUCUCAGACAACCCUGCUACUCUGAAUCCUGAUUUGAAAUCUUGGUGAAGGUGUUUAGACCCCACCUGAGGAGCUGUACAUAACAAAAGCCCUCAAUGCCACUAAACCAAUGGGAGAGGGGUAAGAGUACAAAGAAUUUAAAACCACAAUAGACUCAUAUUAUUCUAUUACCAGUAGAUAGAAAUCAAAUACGUUUUAUCAAUUUGAAGAACGUUUUCCACGUCAUCCAGUCACCCAGGCCACAAGAUCCUCAGUGACGACAGAUAAUUAUGAAAUUAGUUGUAUUAUUGAUACUGCUUUUUCCUGGGUAUUGGCUUCCCAGAGUUACUGAGAGAAUGAUGGAAUAAAGCAUCGACUUUGUCAUAUA